AAUGAACGCUGGCGGCGUGCUUAACACAUGCAAGUCGAACGAGAACGGGAUUGCUUGCAAUCCUUAGUAGAGUGGCGCACGGGUGAGUAACACGUAGAUAAUCUACCUUCAAGACUGGAAUAACUGUUCGAAAGGGCAGCUAAUACCGGAUGAAGUUGAUUCACACAGGUGAGUUAAUGAAAGAUUGCCUCUUCUUGAAAGCAAUUGUUUGGAGAUGAGUCUGCGGACCAUUAGUUUGUUGGUGGGGUAACGGCCUACCAAGACUGCGAUGGUUAGCUGGUCUGAGAGGAUGAUCAGCCACACUGGAACUGACACACGGUCCAG
rnacentral:rRNA from 1 species